GAGAGUUAAAUAGUACGUGAAAUUGUUGAAAGGGAAACGAUUGAAGUCAGUCAUGCUAGUGAAAAUUCAGUUUGACGGGUUUUGGGUUUGGGAGUAGAGGCAGGGUCAAACCGUUUCUCUUUUAAACUCGGGAUUUGUCAGAUGCACUUUUUCUUUGGCAGGUCAGCGUCGAUUUCGGAGGUUGUAAAAUAAUCGGGGUAAAGUAACUCUGCUUCGGUAGAGUAUUAUAGACCUUGAGGGAUGCAGCCUGCGGGAUCGAGGAUUGCAGCAAAUGCCUUUGGCUUGGCGCCUGAUCUCUGGAUGUUACCUCGCUUGUGACAACAUUCUUGCCUCCGGUGAGUACUAAUGCCCAUUAGGUUAGAGCGACCAGAAAUUUGCUAAGGAUGCUGACGUAAUGGCUUUAAACGA
rnacentral:rRNA from 1 species